GAUGAACGCUGGCGGCGUGCUUAACACAUGCAAGUCGAACGAUGAAGCCCAGCUUGCUGGGUGGAUUAGUGGCGAACGGGUGAGUAACACGUGAGUAACCUGCCCUUAACUCUGGGAUAAGCCUGGGAAACUGGGUCUAAUACCGGAUAGGAGCGUCCACCGCAUGGUGGGUGUUGGAAAGAUUUAUCGGUUUUGGAUGGACUCGCGGCCUAUCAGCUUGUUGGUGAGGUAAUGGCUCACCAAGGCGACGACGGGUAGCCGGCCUGAGGGGGUGACCGGCCACAGGGGGACUGAGAAAGGGCCCGGCCCCCGAGGGGGGGAGGCAGGGGGAAAUAUUGCAAAAGGGGCGAAGGCUGGAGGCAGGGACCCGGGGGGGGGGAGGAGGGCCUGGGGUUUGUAACCCUCUUCAAGUGGGAAAGAAGGGAAGGGGAGGUACCCUGAAAAAAAACCACGGAAAAACUAGGGG
rnacentral:rRNA from 1 species